UUAAAACAAUUUGACGUUAAAACUCCGCCUUGACGGAGGUUUUAACGAAAGGCUAUUUCUGUCAAUGGCAAUGACAAAUGGAGUUUAAAAAGUCAUCUGGUGGCACCUGGCUUGUCUCUCAGAGAACAAAAGCCACACGCAGCCAGAGCAACCAAUAUGAUCAGCACAGGUUUAAAUAAUAAAUCGAUCUUAUCAAGUGGUUUCCCAUCUUCGACAAGAAUCUGUGAUUUGUAAUGAUCCUUCCGCAGGUUCACCUACGGAAA
rnacentral:misc_RNA from 1 species